rnacentral:rRNA from 1 species
CUAGAUACAAGCGAGCGGCGGACGGGUGAGUAACACGUGGGUAACCUGCCCAAGAGACUGGGAUAACACCUGGAAACAGAUGCUAAUACCGGAUAACAACACUAGACGCAUGUCUAGAGUUUGAAAGAUGGUUCUGCUAUCACUCUUGGAUGGACCUGCGGUGCAUUAGCUAGUUGGUAAGGUAACGGCUUACCCAGGCAAUGAUGCAUAGCCGAGUUGAGAGACUGAUCGGCCACAUUGGGACUGAGACACGGCCCAAACUCCUACGGGAGGCAGCAGUAGGGAAUCUUCCACAAUGGACGAAAGUCUGAUGGAGCAACGCCGCGUGAGUGAAGAAGGGUUUCGGCUCGUAAAGCUCUGUUGGUAGUGAAGAAAGAUAGAGGUAGUAACUGGCCUUUAUUUGACGGUAAUUACUUAGAAAGUCACGGCUAACUACGUGCCAGCAGCCGCGGUAAUACGUAGGUGGCAAGCGUUGUCCGGAUUUAUUGGGCGUAAAGCGAGUGCAGGCGGUUCAAUAAGUCUGAUGUGAAAGCCUUCGGCUCAACCGGAGAAUUGCAUCAGAAACUGUUGAACUUGAGUGCAGAAGAGGAGAGUGGAACUCCAUGUGUAGCGGUGGAAUGCGUAGAUAUAUGGAAGAACACCAGUGGCGAAGGCGGCUCUCUGGUCUGCAACUGACGCUGAGGCUCGAAAGCAUGGGUAG